CCCCUGGCCUCAGACAAAAAGGAUGCAUUUCAAGCUCUUGCAAUAACUUGCAGAGCUCCAUCCCUGUGUCCUCAGAAAUGACCCUGAGUUUCAGCAGCUCAAAAAGACUCCAGUUGGAUAGUGAGAAGCCACUGCUUCCUUGCAAGAACCUUCCCAAAUUUCUCUAACCAUGUGAAGACAUGCUUGAUUCCCCUUCACCUUCACCAUGAUUUUCUAGGAGAGUAACAAAAAGAAGGAAGAUUCAGUAGGAAAGGAAAGCAAUGAAGAAGCCAAGAAAGAGACAAGGAACCCUGGAAAGAGAGUCAGCAAAGAGAGAAAUAGAAACAUUAAUUUCA